UACGUAGGGGUCGAGCGUUGUCCGGAGUUACUGGGCGUAAAGCGCGUGCAGGUGGCUCAUUACGCCCGGCGUGAAAGCCCCCCGGCUCAACCGGGGAGGGUCGUCGGGGACGGGUGAGCUUGAGGGUAGCAGGGGCUGGUAGAAUUCCCGGUGUAGUGGUGAAAUGCGUAGAGAUCGGGAGGAAUACCCGUGGCGAAGGCGGCCAGCUGGGCUACACCUGACACUGAGACGCGAAGGCGUGGGGGAGCAAAAGGG
rnacentral:rRNA from 1 species